rnacentral:rRNA from 1 species
AUUGAACGCUGGCGGCAGGCCUAAUACAUGCAAGUCGAACGAGUGGCGGACGGGUGAGUAAUGUCUGGGAAACGGUCCGAUGGAGGGGGAUAACUACCGGAAACGGUAGCUAAUACAGAAUAACAACGGAGGUGUCUAGAUGGGAUUGGCUAGUAGGUGGGGUAACGGCUCACCGAGGCGACGAUCCCUAGCUGGUCGGAGAGGAUGAACUGCCACACUGAGACUGAGACGCGGUCCGGACUCCUACUCGAGACAGCAGUAGGGAAUUUUGCACAAUGUGCGCAAGCCUGAUACAGCCAUGCCGCGUGUAUGAAGAAGUCCUUCGGGUUGUAAAGUGCUUUCAGCGUGUGAGCGUUACUCACAGAAGAAGCACCGGCUAACUCCGUGCCGGCAGCCGCGGUAAUAC